GGGAGCCCCCCCGGACACGGCCCCCUCGUGCUGUGCCGCCCGGGGCCUGUGCUUGGGGCAGCGCCGCUGGGCCCCGUCCCAGGUGGGGGCGGGUGGGGUCGCUGAGGGCCAGAACAAAGGCGCCUGGGUCCUCCCCUUCGAACAGAAGGAUCCUGCCUUCCGAGGGGUCCUCCUCCUGUGAACGCUUCUUCUCCCCCUUUUAACUUGUUUUUGCUCCUGUCCUCGAGAAACGCGCUCUGAGCUCUGAUCUGCGCACACGGAGAGCUUCCCGGCCGAGGGGCAGGAUAAUCCUUUAUUCUGCGGGGAUUUGUGCUGUUGACAGUAAGCAACGCUCGCACAUUCCCAGGGAGAGCGCCCGGCACAGUUCUCCCUUUGUGUUUCCUGUGCCAGGUUUUUUCUCUGCGGUCUGGUGUUCUCUGUGGCAACGUGGGAAGGGCUGUAAGGAUUUUGGGGCAGGACUGCCUGACCUUGGCAGCGGGUGACAGAGUUACCCAAAAGGUUGUCCAAUAAUUGUCUUCAGAGCGCGUUAACCUAGAGCCCGGGUGAGACUCCAGAACCCAAGCAGCAGUUGUGUUUUGGGGUUUCUGAUGGCUUUGGAGGCAGCGAAAUGCCUGCCUGCUGUGCCUUCGGGUACUUUGUCAGUAGUGGGGUCACGUACGUUGAAGCCCAGUGAAGCUCUUCUGGGAUAACUGGGAGGAGAUCUGUGUCGGGCCUUGGAUUGGGUUCACGCUUGGCCGUGACCUGCAUCCUGUCCCCAUUGUCACAGUUUUCUAGUUGAAAAUUCAGUGGAAGGAUUCCUGCUGAUCAAAGGGUGUUUGGUGGCGCUGAAAUGUGCCCUCCCCACGUGCAGCUCUGUUAAUGAGCAGGUAGAGCAGAGCAGCCAGCUGCCAGCAGAAAACAAUCUGCAGUGGGAACAAACGCCCUUUCGGGGAGGCAUCGAGGAGCUGAUGGAAAAGUUCACGAGUUUUUUCCAUUGUUUGAGCAAGCAUUUUUUUCCCAACGUAGCAUUAAGAUGUCUCGGAUAAGUAGUGUCUCGUAUCAUUAACUCGUCGGAGCUCCUGCGGUGGUUUAUGUAACCGGAGCGAGCCUCCCGCCGUUCUGCUGAUGCAGUGAAGUUUAGCAGAAACGCAUUUCUCUAGAGAGAAAAGUUUGGACUCCGUAUGUUCUUCCCCAGCCCUGUGAAAAUCGCUGCCCUACUUGGGGCUCCGCAGAGCCCCAUAGGUUAAGGGGAGGCUCACGUGCGUUCUGUGCCAGGUCUGGUGGGAAGUGAGCGCUGCGCCCAGCCCCAGGGCUUUUGUUCCUUAAACAGCCUCUCCUCCUUGGCAGAGGAGGAAGGAGAGGGGGUUGACGUGUCCCCUUCUGCUUCCCAGAGCCUCCCCAGGACUGAGGUGGGAGAUGGGACCCCGCAGGGGUUUGGGUGCUGGCCGAGGUAGCGCCGCUCACUGGGUGAAGGUCCGGGAGCUGCAGGUUUGUGCGGUGGCUCCCGCGUGGGGGUCUCAGGUCACCCGGAGCGUUUCGCUUCCACAGCACUGCCUGCUGAGGAACUCCUGCGAGGCUUUUUGGUGUUUCCCAGAAAUAAACGUGAGCGGUGCACAGCAGCUGAGCCCGGGUCCUGCCACCCCCUGCCUGCGAGGCGAUGGUUGCUCGGUGCGUGCCCACCGCCAGCGGGGCCGGGCAGGGUCUGAGCGCGUGGCGGUGGGCGAGGGCUCACCCCAGAGCCCCGCCGACUGCUGCCUCCCCGCUCCACCUUGCCCCUGGGACAGUGCCAUUGUGCAGGCGCGGGCAUGCGAUUUGCCUGACGUAGGAAGCCGUGGGAUUUUCCAGCCAGGGUGAGCAGCAAAGCGCAGAAGGGCCGGGGGCUCUGUGCUCCUGCACCUUCCAGAGGGGCUGCGCCGGGUCUCGGAGGGCUCUGGGCAGCUCCGAGGCACGAAGUCACUGCCGGGUGCGUGUGGCUGUCCCGCUGCACGCUGCGGAGAGGUGUGGAAAAGGCCUGGGGUGGGUGGGUGCAGCCAGCCCCAAAUCGCGUGUGUGCAGAACGUGCCCGUGCCCAGCCCGCUGCGGUGCUACGGGGUUGGGAUGCUCUGCGUGGUGACAUGGAAGGGCUCUUGCUAAUUCGUGCAAAAAUAAUUAAAAGCAUAAAUUUGUUCUAAAAUAGCCUUCAUCUGCCUAACUACCCCAGCAAACUGCGAGCUCUGCUACUCCUGGAGACUUCAGCUGUUUUCCAAGGCUGCCGUUCCCCCCUCCUUUCCCCCAGUUCACCUCAUGGUGCUCAGCCGGCCGUGGCUGUGCUCGCGUGAAGCGCAGAGACGGCUGUUCUAGGGAUGCAAAUCCAGGCCAAGCUGUUGUUGCCGUCCAUACCACAGGUCCCUACAGGCAGCUUUCCCCUGCUUCUCACAGCGAUGGUGUCAGGGGACUGCUGGGGCACCGGGCCCGGCUGCCCCUCGCCUCCGGAGCUGCUCGGUGCUCCCUGCGGGGCGGUGCUGGCCCCGUCCCGUGGUGGCUGCCACGUGCUGCCCUCGCGUCUGGAGCGCUCCUCCUGCAAGCUCUGGUCUCGUGAGUGGCCACGUGAAGGUUUUCUCGCAGGCGCAGCAGUCAGGGUUAUGUUUUCAGAAGGCAGUUCAGUAUCUCCGUGCCGUUAGCUCUGCCGGGCGUUUGGGAGCAGCUCUGUGUGAAUGAGAACCCGGCUCGUGGCGCCUGGUGCCCGGCUGGGGCUGAGGAAGGCUCUCUGUGUGCCCACCACCUCCCGGGCUGUGCCCGUGUUGUUGCUGCCACUUUGCACCUCGCAGGGGUCGGGUGCAGGAUCCAAACCCUGCUGCUUGGUCUUCACCCCCCAGGAUGGGGUACAGGCAGGUGAAGGCCAGCGAGGUGCGAAGCGCUCACCGCAGAGCGGUGAUGGGAGAUUUCACAAAAAUCCAUCUCAGUCUUUGAGGCUUGGCCCUGGUCGCUCAGGGUGAGGGCCAGCUUCGCGUGCCGCUGCACAGCGCGAGCUCCUUGUGCCGGGCAGGCUCCUGCUUCAGCCGUGUGCUCGUGCAGAGCCGAGGGGCGCGGUGCUGAUGGCGCUGCAGGCGGAGCAGCUGGCUGGGGGUUCAGUGUUGUGCCCCAUCCUCCCAGGGCUCUCUGGACAAGGUUCAAGUUUCAUUAAACACAGAGGCAGAGCAUCAAAAUAACUUUUUUUUUUUUUAACAAAGAGGGAUUUUUUAAUUUGAACACAGCUUUUUUAAAAGUUUUGAGCAACGAGCUUGCGUGCAGCUGCAAAGGCACCGUGCUCCUCGCUUCUGGUCCUCAAGGUGCUCCUCCCUCACUCGCCGUGCCACCGCCUUUUGUUCCCGGCCCCAUACAGCGAUCCCGAGCAGCCGUGGCCAUCACCAGAGGCACGUCUCCUGUUUCGUGUUUUCCCAGUUGGUGUUUGGUAACCGCUCGGACUCGUUUACCCUUCUCUCCUUACCGUGGUGGCACCAACUGGGCCAGCUCUAAAAGCAAACAGCGAGCAGGCAGCACGUGCUGCUUCCUGGCGGGGGGCUCGCGGGCUGUCCCCUGCCCGCCUGCUCCUUUUGAUAACUGUUUGUAAAAUCUCAGGGCUGUUGCUCCUCCAUCAAAUUCAGCGGUUAUUUAACGUCAUUUCACCCGGGUCACAAGGAAAAUGAGACACUCAGGCAGCAGUGCUAGCGAGGAACUUUUUUUCAGACCCUUGUCUUCAUCGUUCCCUCCAUGUCUGCCCAGCCUGGGUCUCUGCUGCUCUGGGGCACAGCUCCCACCUCGGGGGCCUUGGUGGCGGGGUCUGCCUGCCCCCCCCACCCCUGUCCCUGGCCUGUGCCUUUCCUCCCGUGGCCCUACACGCACCCCCGUGCUGGGUCCUGCCCAGAAGGGCUGCCUCCGUGCAGGCUGAACGUGGCUUUGGGCUGACUCUGCAGCAGGUUGGGGAAGGCGCAGCGCUCAGCUCCGCUCCUGCAGCGCGUGGUGAGGCUGAAGGCAAAAGGCUGGGGGCUCGGAGGGGCGCCCAGGCAGCCAGGAGGGGGGGUCGCUUGCUUUUCGGCCGGGAGCCGCACCACGAGAGCGUGCUGCGGGGCUGUGGGUGGGGCGGGGGGGUCGGGGCCCUUGGCACAGCACUGGGGGUCAGGGUGCUGCUGGCUGCGGUGCUCGUGGGGCUGCCGGGAGCUGGUGCCAGCUUUGCAGGGCACGGCUGGUGCAGGUGGUUCUGGCCGGCUGGCCAUCUAAUGGUGGGGACUGGGCGGUUGUCCCGCUGUCUGUGCUUGUUCUUGGGCCUUUCAGUUUGUGGUUCGCAGCAGUGGGUCAGCUCCACCAGCCUUUCUGUGCGCUGGGGGGUUGGGAUGAGAUGAAGCGGCUGUAAAUCAGACAUGAACUUUGAUUUGGUUCUUGCCAUGGAGGAAAAUAGUUCCUGUUGUUUGUUUUCCUUCCGGAGAAAAAAUUUUGUAUCAAAGGUAAAAUGGACGUCGCAAGAGUUCAGGCUGUUCCCGUUACCUCACGCUGUCUCCCAAAUCUUAUUGCAGCUAGCCUUCAGUUUUUGCAGUGCAGGAGGCUCCCCUGGCCCCCCUGGCAUCCCGCACCGGGUGCAGCCGGAGUCGCUUCACCAGCGCUUGCAGCCUGCUUGGAAGCCGCUGGGUUCGUGGGCACCAGGAUCUGGCCCUGUUGCAGCAGCGUGCGAGGACAAAGAGCAGCCUGCGUCCUGCCAGCGCUGGCCUUUUCUUCUCUCCCCAGUUUCUAACUGUUAAUUUUACCAAAGGGGAGCUUUUUUUUUUUUUUUUUUUCUUUUUUUUUUUGACACCUUUAGGUAUGUCUCUGCCUGGUUUUGUGCCUCUUUCUGCAGUUUCUCGGUGCCGGGGGUUGCUCCAGCUGUGGCCAGCCUGGAGCCUAUUGGGUGGAUGUGGGAUUCCCUGGGCUGUAUCCAGCCCCCCCGGAACGGUUGAGCAACGAUUUUGGCCAUGUUUGGCCGAGGAGCCUCAAAGUGAGGGCUUCGCCUGCCUGGCUGUGGGGUGAUGCCGCCUGCUUCGCGUGCUGCAGGUACUGGCCCUGCCCCGGGUCUCUCCCCCAGCUCCCUGUGAGCCCCGCGUGGAGGCUGCAUUAAAAAUUUCCCCUGAAGCUUUAAGGCAGCGCUCAGGCGUUCAAAGCCUUCAUGUAAAAUAAGGCUGAUGCCCUAGGAAGGUUCUAGGCAAAAAGAAAAAGGUGAAGGAUGGGUGCUUAGGAGCUCGUGUUGCUUACGAGCCGUUUGCAGCUUUGUGGUUUCAAGCCUUAAUUUUUCAGGCUUACACAGACAUCGAUGGCCAAAUAAUGCAGGCAAGGCUCUCUCCCUUCCUUCUCCGUACAGGGAUGAGGUGGGGUUCAUAUGGCAAAGAUGCACAGUGGCAUGCAGCGUGAGGGCUGCCUGCGGGGCUGUGCCGGGAACCCCCCACAUCGUGCUGGGUGCCGGGGGGGCCUCGGGAGUCAGCGUGGUGCCAGGGCUCUCGGAGGUGAGGUUUUCGGAAGGGCUUCCUGCAGAGGAUCCUCUGCUGUGUGCAGAGGCAGCGAUGGCUCGUCCUGUACCGUUGGCUCCUGCUAGAGCCGGGCCCUAGGCAGCCCACAGGCCCGUCUGGGUACGGGUGUUGUUUUUUUUUCCAGCGUGUGGUUGUCGCUGUCACAGCGUGUCAGCCGCAGCCGUUCUGAUUCCUGUUGACUUUUCUAACAAUAGCUGUGUCUCGUGGGGCCCGCUGGCCUGACACCGCUGCCCUCCUUUCUGAUGGCAUCUCCUUUCCCUGAUUCCCGGGGCUGGGUCCUGGAGUCAGCCAAGCUCUCCUGGCCUUGUGCUAUCCGAGAGCUUCCCGGGGCUGCGCUGAAAUAAAUAAAACAUCUCUGCAAGGGGAGAUGUGAUGGGUAUCGGCGGGGCCAGCAGUGUGCACAGCAGGGGGGGGUGUUGGGGCCGGGGGUGCAGCCUGCGCAGGAGGAGCGCGUGCCAGGGACGUGGCCUCCUGGAAAACCGCGUCCUAGAAGCGUGUUUGUGUAUAAAGGCAAAUAUCCACGGCUGUUUGCUAGGGAGGGGCUAGAAUAAAUGUUGACAAAAGGAAACAUCUGUGCUGUUGGGGAGAUAGCGUCCCCCCGGGGAUGCUGACGAGCGCUCAAGCAGCCCCUGCUCUGCCGUGGUCCCGGUGCUGGAGGGGCCGGGCUCCCCCCGGCUCCGUGCUCCAGCCCCUGGGCUCCUUCCCAGCUGGGUGACCCCACGUCGCUCCCGGGGCUGUUCCCAGGCUGUUGGCUCUGGCAGUGCCUGUGAGCUUCGGUGGGUUUUGGGGUUCGGCAAGGAUUGAGCAUCCCCUGUCUCGGCAGCGGUCUGCCGAGGUUUCUGCCAAGCUCCUGCUGUGGUUUCGCAGCGGAUGCGGGCUGUUGCUGUAGUUACGAGCUGUGCGUGGCCUCCUCCAGAGGCUAGGGAUCAGCAGCGUGUCAGCCUGCUAAAUUUUUGGGCUUUAAUGGAUAUUCCAGGUGCAUCUCUUCCAAGUCUCGAGUAAGAAUUUGUUUUGGCAGUAACCUGGUUUCCCUCCUGAAACUUUCAGAUGCUUCAGGGCUUCUCCCCUUAACUGGGGGGAAAAAGUCCUCACCUGAAGUUUUGAUCGAGCUUUAGAAAGAGCACUUUGCUUAAAAUACCUUCUGAAACAGUGAGCUUGCUCGGUGCUCGUGUCUGGAAGGUGCAGGCAGUCUUUGGCCUCCCUUUCUCAUUUCCUCGGCGGUGUGAAUGAAGAGGUAAUUUCUUUAAAAGCGGCUGUUGUACCUGGAGCACAGCCGUGCAGGGCUGCAGUUCCCGGUCCGCUCUGUGUUUUGGUGCCAUGCUCGUUGCCCUCUUCCCCGAAAUCUUGUGAGCUCCAGGCUGUGCGGGGCUGCUUGGCUCUGCACCGCUUGUUGCAGCAGGGCCCGGGGCUGCCUCAGGUUCCCCCCCGUCCACCCCGGGAGUAAGCAGGGGCUGGCUGGGGGCAUUCGUCCCAGCCGGCUUCUGGGGGAGCGAUCCUGGCCCUGCGGGGUGAGCAGAGGAGCAGUGACUGCAGGGGGGUCUUGCGGGGUCAGUCGGGGGGGAGCCGUUUCUGCCAAAAGCAGCAGGAGGUUUGGGAGGGGAAAUUGCCCUUCCUGGGGCGUGCAGGCAGAGCUGUGGGAUCAGCGUGUUCCUUGCUGCCAGGCUGGGAGAAGAGGCGCUGGGCUUGUGAAGCCUUCUCUGCGCAUCCCUGCUCCGGUCAGCCGUGGUUUCUGCUGGCGAAAGGCGAUCUCCCUGUAACUGCUACCUGAAGCACAGAGGAGAGGCUCGCUGUGUGACAGUGAGAAGUGCCCAAGCAGUGUUCCAGCCCUGGUGUCGCUGGGCCCAGUGACAUCCAGUGGCUCAUUUCCUGUUUUUUCAGCUCCUCAAAGCACUCCGGCUCCCGGCUGCCUGCUCUUCUGGAGACCUGCAGGCCCACGAGCGCUUCCAAUGCCACGCUGCCCUCUCGCGCUAUGCAAAGCGUUCCAGUCCCUGCUCUUUUUCCUGCUAAAGGUACUCGACUGAAGCUUAAGCCCUGCUGUAAGUGCAAACAGCAGGCAUCAGGGUAAAUGGAGCUGUGUGUGCCCGGGAGCAAAGGGUGCGCUGAGUGCUGGUUCCCCAGGGCCUGAUGUGCAUCGCUUUGUGCAAACCCUUUGCAGCCACUCAAGUGACUUGGAACGAGGCAGAGCAGCAGCUUGCACAGUACGUGCAAAUAUUUAGACAAACGGCAAGUGUCAGAGGACAGAAAUGAGACCUGGAGAUGUUCAAGCUGGGGCUGGAAACUAAGUAAAAUGCAAACAACUGUGAAAAUUUGGAGAGGAGGGAGAUAAAAGCACAGGUAGGCAGUGAGAGGGGGCCCCUGAAAAUGCCACGAGCUGCACGGCAGCAUGCAGCACUGGUGUCAUGGAAUAGACUGGGGCAGUGUUAAAUGUGUUGGUUUUUUUCCUGAGCAAUUUGGAGGAGACCGUGCCUGAUGCCAGCCCUUGCCUUGGUAAGCAGCUGCUGCCCCAGCAGGAGCUCCUGGCGAGUGAUUGUGGUGCUGGAGGGCAGGCGCUUUAAAACGAGGGCUUAAUGAGGUGCAGGGCCAGGGGGCCAGGCUGGGAACAGACGGAAAAAUUCCCUCGGGAAUCCCCUCCCAGAGGAGGUGACACGCGGCAGCCCUGGGAGCCUGUCCUGGGCUGCCUCUUGGCAGGGAAAGGGGCAGAGGGCGUCAGUCCCUUUUUCCUGCCUCUCGGUCCCUUAGCAGCAGUGGGGUGAGGAACGGGCACCCCGGUCCCCAGAAGCACGGGCUGCUGCUUUUUGAGGCCGCUGCUGAGCUGACAGGCAGUGCAAGUUCGGCGAUGCCUGCUGCAGCAGUGGAUUAUUUUAAGGUAAUCUGAGGAAAUGGCAGCGAGUCUGGCGAUGAGAAAAGAGCCAGAGGUUGUGCUCAGGAGCCUCCCCCGAAUCCCUGCGCAGGGCUCUGCGGGGAGGUGGCAGCGCUGCGGCUUUCCCAUCACAACGGCCAAGCGAGGGGAAUGCUUACCUGCGGAAAGAAACACGAGGGCUUGCGUGGAGGAGCCCCUGUGCAGAGCGGGGCGGAGGCGCCGGGUACACGGAGCCCUAAUGCUCCUGCACCCAGCUGUGCCUGGGGUUGUCACCAGCGUGCAGCCAGCAGGUCACUGCGCUGGGUGUCACCCCUGCUAGAAGCGUGCCUGCCCCAGGAGAGGCAGGCAUCCCGGGGGGCACAACGAGACGAAAGAGCCCGCUCAGCAGGAGGAGGCUUCCUGCAAGCUCUGGGAUUCGGAUGGAGUCCCACAGAAGCGGGCUGUGGGGGGAAGCCCUGCUGCGUCGUGCGCUUCAGGCCUCUGGGGUUUGCUUGGUGUAAGGUGUUAAUUCCCUCGGAGAUCUGAAUAAAGGUUUGGGGGAUUCUGCUUAAAGCUUGCCUCGUUAUGCUUUCUUGCUAACGUUUCUUCAACGGCUUUAAAGAUGGAAUGUGUCUUAUGUUGCCUGUUCUGCCUGGAGCUGAGUUGGCAAUAUCUUCUCUUUAAGACUUGAGGGAAGGAAAAAUAAUGAAUUGACUUAUGCUUAGGAAUAAUUUAAAAGUUGAGUUCUUUGGUUUCCAGACAUGGAAGUACUUUGUCAUGAGAGACUCUCAUCUGGUAACCCUUCAGCCUAGACUAAAGGCUAAUUGAUUUAAAUUGCACCACAUGCCCUAUCUCGGAAGCAGUUUCCCUGCUGCACAGGGCAGCUGCUAGUGCUGCCGUCCCCGAGGGGGAUGGUGAAGCAGCUAAACUCAAAGCAGUAUCUGCAAAAUCGGUGCUUAAAGGUGUUUGCUCCCAGCCGAAGCAAGCAGAGCGGCCGCGUGCCCCAGGCAGUGGCACUCUGCUGCUCAGACACCGGCGUGUCCCUCAGCACUUCUCCGAAGAAGCAGAAACCCUCGUCCAGCCACUCUGCGUACGGAGGCUGGAGGCACAGCCCUGUGAUACAACAUGUUAAGGCCUCAUUUGACUUUGGUUUCCUCCCACCUGACAGCCUGAGAACCUGUCAUCCAGCUGCUUGUCCUGCUGCGAAAGCUCUUGCUGGGUGAAGAACCAGCUCUGCAUCUCCUGUCUUCAGCCACCAAGAGCUGUAAAAAUAUUUGACCGCUUGCUGGGUUUGAAGCUCCCUAGGAGGAAAUGCACAUUCAGCUUGAAAACGACCUUGUCUGAUGUUGGGGAAGCUUUCUGUUGUAAUUUAAUACAGCAGCAGAGCCUCAGGAAUCCACGUCAACAUCUGGGAACUGACGGAUGCGCUGGGAGUGGGCACAGUGCGUGUCUGUAAAGGCAGCGUUGUCCUCGCUCAGUCCUGGGACGAUUGCUGCCUUCUUCCCAGGGUGACGGCAGAUCUGGGUUCAGGCUGGCACAGCGCGCUCACAGCCGGUGAACGGCAGCUUGUGUUUGGCAGAAAGCAGCCGUCCUGUGUGCUCCUUCCCAGCCCGUGCUGUAAGCCCUACCCUGACAUUCUCGCAAGUACUUCGUGUUCCUCCAGGUUCUCUGCAGUAUUGCCCUUUCCUCCACCAAAACCCUGUUGGCUGAAUAGGGCAGGUGAAAUGAGCAAGCUAGAACAUGUGUGCAGUUCCAAGCGAGGAAGCAGCGUGCCUAUCCUGCUCCCAAACCCAACAGAGCAACCUUCUGUCUUUGGGAGUUGGAUUUCUGGGUUCCUAUGCCAGCAUGGCAUCGAGCAGUGAGGCCGGGCAGUGAAUUGUUUGUUUUUGAGCAGCAGCACUGCUCUCAUGCC